rnacentral:rRNA from 1 species
GACGUAGGGGGCAAGCGUUGUCCGGAUUUACUGGGCGUAAAGAGCGCGUAGGCGGUCUGUUAAGUGAGAUGUGAAAGCUCUGGGCUCAACCCAAAAAUUGCUUUUCAUACUGGCAGACUGGAGUGAUGCAGAGGUUUGUGGAAUUCCUGGUGUAGCGGUGAAAUGCGUUGAUAUCAGGAGGAACACCGAUGGCGAAGGCAGCAAACUGGGCAUUAACUGACGCUGAGGCGCGAAAGCGUGGGUAGCAAACAGG